rnacentral:lncRNA from 1 species
GAAGAAAAUAAUUGUCUUGCUAUAAUGUGGGAACCAUAACCCCCACUUUAUAACACAUGAGUUAUAAAACUCAUGAGUCACAAGCAUGUAACCAUAAUUACUUAUAUGUAACCUUAGUUAGCCCAUCAUUAACUAAGGUUACCCUUUUGGGUAUCUACACAUUAGUCCUACACUUUAUAUGACAACACAUUUGCCCCCUUAACAUAAUGUCCAUAAGACCACAAAAUUAGGCCAAACCAAAAGAUAGCACAUAACCUAUAAUUUAUCCAUAUAUUGUUCAUAUGUAUGUAGAUAUAAGUCCAUAUAUCUUACAU